CGACACCCGCCGCCACACAAAGGCGCUGCGUCCUGGCGGCCAGCGGGGGCUUAGUCUAGGCCCGGCAGGGUUUUCUGGAAGACCAGAGGGCCACCAGGUCACCGAGGUGGGAAGUGAAGAGAGGUUCGACGCUGCCUCAGGCCUGGGCCUGGCCGGUGGGAGACACAGCAAGGACUCUGGGAGCCUGCAGAGCAGAGGCCGCCGCGGGGCCGGGCCCCCGUCUCCUCCUCAGGUCCAAGACCAGAGGGUCUGCAGGGCCCCAGAGCAGCUGGCCGCGCUCCGCUUCCCACCGCGCUCUCUGCUGGAAUACAGGUCUAGGGGUCAGAAAUCUGCAAUCAGUUUCGGUGGACCAAAAUGAAAAUGUCAAACAGGGUGUCUGACACCCUCCAGAAGCACCAGAGGAGAAGCAGCUUUCCUUGGCCUUCCCAGGUUCUACAGGGACAUUCCUUGGCUCAUAGCUCCCCCUCCCAUUUUCUUUCUUUCUUUUCUUUUCUUUUCUUUUCUUUUCUUUUCUUUUUUUUCUUUUUUUUUUUUUUGAGACAGAGUCUCGCUCUGUCACCCAGGCUGGAGUGCAGUGGCGCCAUCUCGGCUCACUGCAAGCUCCGCCUCCCGGGUUCACGCCAUUCUCCUGCCUCAGCCUCCCGUAGCUGGGAUUACAGGCACCCGCCACCACGCUCGGCUAAUUUUUUGUACUUUUAGUAAAGACGGGGUUUCACCGUACUAGCCAGGAUGGUCUCGAUCUCCUGACCUCGUGAUCAGCCCGCCUCGGCCUCCCAAAGUGCUGGGAUUACAGGCGUGAGGCACCGCGCCCGGCCUCCUCCUCCCGUUUUCAAAGUCACCAGCGUAGCAUCCUGAUUCAAGAUCACAUUGUCUUCUUUUUUUUUUGUAGCCAAAUCUCCCUCUGCCUCUCUCCCCUGGUGACGACAAUGGCUGGGGUCUUGACUUGCGCAGAUCUGGAAACGGAGAAGGGACUGGAUCUCCAAACUUGGACUGCCUUGGACUGACCCUGGCCUGGAAGGUGUGGGCUCAGGACUCCGAGCUCAAGUCAGUCUGUUCCCCCAACCCCUAACCCACUGCAUCCGGGUGAGGAGUUGGGCCCGAGCGCCACAGCGCAGAUAGGGUUGUUAGGAGCGAAAGACUGGAGACCCAGGGACUGUGGGGCUGGGCUGGUGGGGCCACUGCUACCGACUAAGCAGUACGGGCCGCCUGGAAGACCGAAGGCGGAGUUCGCUGAUGCGGAAGCCAAGGCACAGGGCAAUAAGGAUCCGCGCCAUUUCUUGUGAUGUCACCUGAAGCCUUGGCGGGUAGCUGCCUCUCAUCCAUUCGGAGGACAGGGCUCCAGCCACCGGCAGCUCUGAAAGAGUUUGAAGAAUUUAUUGUUCACAGAUGGUAUUUAAAUGGACUUAUUUCUAAAAGUCACAUUCCUUUAUUACUUAUUUGUUAUUAGAAGUACCCAUUUUCAUAUGUGUUUAAAACUAUUUGUGUCUCAAAUUCUCAGGAGAUUGAUGCAUCCCAGUUUACUCUUUUUGGCAUAUGUUUUUACUCAUAAAUUAGGUUAAAUUUCAUACUUGUUUUAUAAAAUUUAGUUAUUUGGUUACAUUAAAAUAUUUGUAUCCAGAUAAGAAGUCUCUUCCUU
rnacentral:lncRNA from 1 species